rnacentral:rRNA from 1 species
UGGUAGUCCUAGCCGUAAACGAUGACCACUAGGCGUGGGAGGGAUCGACCCCUUCCGUGCCGCAGCUUACGCAGGAAGUGGUCCGCCUGGGGAGUACGGUCGCAAGAUUAAAACUCAAAGGAAUUGACGGGGACCCGCACAAGCAGCGGAGCGUGUGGUUUAAUUCGAUGCAACGCGAAGAACCUUACCAGGGUUUGACAUGCAACUGCACCACCCGUCACGGGGUGUCCCGCAAGGGCGGUUGCACAGGUGCUGCAUGGCUGUCGUCAGCUCGUGUCGUGAGAUGUUGGGUUCAGUCCCGCAACGAGCGCAACCCUUGCCGUUAGUUGAAAGAUCUAGCGGGACCGCCGCGAUCAACGCGGAGGAAGGCGGGGAUGACGUCAAGUCAGCACGGCCCUUACACCCUGGGCUACACACACGCUACAAUGGUCGGGACAACGGGCCGCCAACCCGCGAGGGGGAGCCAAUCCCAUCAAACCCGGCCUCAGUUCAGAUUGCAGGCUGCAACCCGCCUGCAUGAAGGUGGAGUUGCUAGUAACCGUCGGUCAGCACACGACGGUGAAUACGUUCCCGGGUCUUGUACUCACCGCCCGUC